AGAGUUUGAUCCUGGCUCAGAACGAACGCUGGCGGCAGGCCUAACACAUGCAAGUCGAGCGCCCGCAAGGGAGCGGCAGACGGGUGAGUAACGCGUGGGAACGUGCCCUUUGGUUCGGAAUAUUCCCGGGAAACUGGGAGCAAAACCGGAUAAGCCCUUCGGGGGAAAGUUUACGCCAAAGGAUCGGCCCGCGUUAGAUUAGGUAGUUGGUGGGGUAACGGCCUACCAAGCCUACGAUCUAUAGCUGAUCUGAGAGGAUGAUCAGCCACACUGGGACUGAGACACGGCCCAGACUCCUACGGGAGGCAGCAGUGGGGAAUCUUGGACAAUGGGCGCAAGCCUGAUCCAGCCAUGCCGCGUGGAUGACUGAAGGCCCUAGGGUUGUAAAGUCCUUUCGACGGGGACGAUAAUGACGGUACCCGUAGAAGAAGCCCCGGCUAACUUCGUGCCAGCAGCCGCGGUAAUACGAAGGGGGCUAGCGUUGUUCGGAUUUACUGGGCGUAAAGGGCGCGUAGGCGGAUUUUUAAGUCGGGGGUGAAAUCCCGGAGCUCAACUCCGGAACUGCCUUCGAUACUGGAAGUCUGGAGCACGGUAGAGGUGAGUGGAAUUCCGAAUGUAGCGGUGAAAUGCGUAGA
rnacentral:rRNA from 1 species